rnacentral:tRNA from 1 species
UGCAGUGUCGUUUAAUGGUAGGACAGAGGGUUCAUGACCCUAAGAUGGAAGUUCGAUUCUUUCCUCUGCUA